AGCAGCCGCGGUAAUUCCAGCUCCAAUAGCGUAUAUUAAAGUUGUUGCAGUUAAAAAGCUCGUAGUUGAAUUUCGGGAUUAGUACGUUGGUCGUGCCUUCGGUACGUACUGGUGUUACUGAUUCCUACCUUCUGACGAACCAUCAUGUCAUUUAUUUGGUGUGGCGGGGAAUCAGGACUGUUACUUUGAAAAAUUAGAGUGUUUAAAGCAGGCUCGCGCUUGAAUACAUUAGCAUGGAAUAAUGAAAUAGGACGUUGACCCUAUUUUGUUGGUUUCUAGGAUUGACGUAAUGAUUAAUAGGAUAGUUGGGGCAUUAGUAUUCAAUUGUCAGAG
rnacentral:rRNA from 1 species